AUCAGGAACUCCUGACAGUGACAAUUGGCUCCCUUUGUGGCCUUAGUGAUCACCAUUUUAAAAAGUCAACAGUUACAUCUUCUAUGAGGUUUAUUUUUAAAGGAAGAAGAAAAUCAGUAUCUUUUUCUUGUUGAGGAGAAAUCACAGCUACUGUAGAGAAAAACCCUAUAAAUAUGGAUUUCUAGAUGUUUCUUUGGACUUACCUUCUGCAUAACUGAGAAGAUAUAAAAGAAAAGGAGUUCUACACAGAUUUGGAAUGCAAGCUGGCUGCAAGCAGGAGCAAGGAGGCGCAACCGGCACAUGUAGCGCUAGAACUUCGGACUGCGUAAGUGAGCUGUAGUGUGGAGAGGUGGAGGCUGGAUGUCUCAGAAGUGUGGGAGACUCUACUAGCAGAAUGGAGAUAACUGGCAAACCAGUCCACAGAGUAUGGUCGGAUUUAUAACAAAUAGUCACUCUCCUUUGAUACCUUUGGUAGAAGUGGUGCAGUAAUAAUCAUCAUUCAGAUCUAUCCAGUUUGGGUGGCCCUACCAAGAGUUAAAGCUUCCAUUGGCAUAGUUCUCAGCGUCACUGGAACACACAAGCCUUCCCAGUGCAUUACGGUGCAGUCCCCAGGAAAGGAAUGUAUUGCAAUGUACUUCAGAAUGAUUUUUGUCUGACUCAGUUGCACAGUUCUUCAA